AAAAAGCAUAUUGAACCCGUGGUGAACUUUGGCUGACAGGAAGCCAAUACUUUUUGAAUGAGUCGAUCCCUUGAAAGUACCGGUGUUUUCGCUCACAAUUGUUCGCGGCGUUCACAAUUGUGGAUGUGAGGAGGGCAAACGUUUGGGGUUGCUGAAGAUUGGAGCGGCAUCAGCCACAGAGGCAAGCCCAAUACCGGCGUCGACACACACCUGGAGAGACUCAUCAAUGCUGGCUGGCUGGCCAACCCUCGAUUGGGGUUGCCUUCAAGGGAAUCUUCCAUGUCGCUCACCUUUUUGUUGAGCUUCAGCCAUGUGACGUAGCCUUUGCUGUCGAUGUACUGAAGGCCGAAGAACCAAACCUCCCUCAGGCCAACAGUCUUCACCACCUGGACAACAAGGGCACCAAGAUGUAUUAGUAAUUAUGGAUCAGAGAUUUUCCAACUCAUCAGUCAAGGACACUUCCAAAGCGAUUGGAGUGAGCUUCUUCCAGCUUUUGCAGCAACAGUACCUGCAUAGAUGAUCAAUUCCGAGUCACUCUGAAGCUGACAAUCUGAUGCCCUAAUUCGACAGGGGCCGAGAGAUUACAAAAUGGAGAUUGAAGGACAUUUUCCACCAACACUGUCGUAUAGCUCGGCACCUCCGAAUCACGUCACGUGGUGUAUUUUUAUCCUGCAGAAUUUGAUUAUCCAACAGGGGACAAGAUCAGCUAAUGACUGAUUUAAGAUGACAUGCAUUGUCACCGGCACGGGUGUGUGACGUGGCUGGUGAAAAGCAGAACCCAUAAAAAAAAAAAAAAUCGAAAGCCUCCCGUUUCAUUUGUUUUCCUUCCUCUACAUCACUGAAACCUUUCAGGGCCCGGAACAAUGCUGAAAGCCGCCCUUUGCCUCGUGUGUGAGUGCACACACACCAAUAUACAGGCACAAAGAGAUCUUUGUCAGUCUCGUAAUAGAACCAAAAGCGACCCAAGCACCUACUGGCACACAUUGCCAGUGUCGCUCUUGCUUUGAUGGAACAACAAAAGAUGACUCAGAAGGAAAGAUUGGGGGGUUUUUGUGUGUGUGUGUGUGGGUGGGGGGGAUAUUUUUUUUUUUUAUUCUGUACUGUAUGUAAUAUUACAAGAAAGGGUCCAGAAUUUUAUAUAUUCAAUUUUAAUUCUGGGCUUCCUGGUGGAAUUUGCAUGUUGUCCACAUGCAAGUCAAAUGAAUUCGAUGAUCUUGUAUUGACACAUUUUUCUGUGUGUGUGUGUGUGUGUGUGUGUGCGUGCUCACCUGGUCAAAGAGCUGCUUGCCUGUUGUAUUGGGCUGGAUGGCAAACUCCAACUCAGCAUCCAUGGUGGUAACGCGGACGUUCGUCUGCAGGACAAAGAUGACAUCAUAAAAAGUCCUAAUACACAAACGGGUUUGGCACAGGUGUGUGUGCGUUGAGGGUGAGAGUAGGAGAACGGGGCCAUGUGCUGCCUUUGAGGUUAUUUUGUGUGCAAGGCUGCAGCUUGUUGAUAAGGUUUCCACGAUAUGCAAACAAGGCAUACGUGAAGCGUUGUUGGCUACUCGGGGAGGAACUAUUGAAUGAAUUCGGGCCCCAACUCCUUUCUCUUGCACCAACACCAUAAAUUUGUAAUAUUGCUUCACCAGAAGGCGCUAUUAAGACAGGCCCGGCUAGUUUGCUGCCUCAACGGGUCAGUGAGCUAAGCGCCAAGCCAUUUUGAGUAUCUCCAGUGCAUCACUUCUUUGAAUGCCCCGUGGCGGCUAAUCUGGAUCACAGUGCAAGAUGUCAGCGGACAGACGCUGCCAAGCAGGCGGUCAGGCCGGAUUAACCACGUUGCCUUUCGGGGUUGACCACCUCCAGAUUGUGGCAACACAAUGGAGGCCACUGAGGAAAAUUGAAGUCUGCAUUUUGUGCUUUCUCUUGUGCCUUCUUGCCUCGUAACAAUGUCGGCCAAGGCGUGCGUUUGGUGUUAAGUGCAGCGGGACCGCCUGGCGACAUUGUUUGUGUGUGUCCGUGUCCAGACUCAGACAGCCAUAAUUAAAAGCUAAGCUGGUUAACAGGCUUGCAAGGGCAGCAGCGGGAAACUUAUUCACCUCAUCCUCGCACGCACGCACGCACGCACGCUCACGUCGUUAUGCAUUCGACUUCAGGGUAUUUUUUAAAUGAAAAUUUGAAUCUUUAUUUCUUGUCAUUUUACAUGAAGUCUACUUUGUCAAGUGAUUUUUUUUUCCCCCUCAUGUUUUUGCUAAUGUAAAGUACACCUUUUAAAAAGUACCUUAUGUUUGCUUUUUAUUCACCGAAAAGUACUAUUACAGUAUUAUUGCCACGUUUGUGUUUCCUUUUGUAGUUUUUAACACAAUUUUUUUUUUGCAUGAGCUGUAUUAACACACCUUGCAAGCAAAUGCCGCUGCAUUACAUCAGCUCUGUCGGCCGCAUCACGUAAGCAAGAGGAAAUGAUCAAGUUGCUCUUGGUGCGUGUGGUGUGUGUGUGGUGUGUGUGUGUGAAGCGUUGCAUUGUGUGACGCUCGCAGGCUUUAUAAUAAAUGAAACAUGAGAUUAAGAUAAGAGGGGGACCAGAUGAUGGUCAUUAAAUUCAAGUGAACACGCACAAAGGAUUUAAGUGCAAAAACUUGGCUAAAAGAAAAAAUGAUUACAUGACUUAAAUUUAAAAAAAUGCCAAUAAAACAUACAAAAAGUGGUUAAGUCAUUAAUUUUCCUGUUCUAUUAAUGGCCUGACAUGCAGCUAACAAAGCUAAGCUAAGGACGGAGACGUGUUUUGAACAAGCGCGACUGCUGCAAGACGCCAAAGCGCACAGAGCAGGCGGUGAAAAGGUCGUGUGUGUUUGCGUAGGGGUCACCAGGGGAUAAUGUAACCAGACUAGCAGUUUUCCCUCAGGGCGCCAUUGGAUAUGGCAGGUGAACUUAAAAAGAAAAAAGUGCCUCUCUCACUCGCUUUCCCUUCACAGCCUUUCUCGCUCUUUGUGGUAAAAAAAAAAAAUCAUUUCGAGCAUAUCGUCAUACUCCUGUGAAUAAUUAUUGAUUACAUAAAUAAAGAAAAAUGUAUUUUUCGACUAUUUUAACUUGUCAUGAUUUGCCGGAACCCUCGUUUGUGCACUACGCGGUGGAGAAACUCACCGGCUUGGGCAUCUUCAUCCUCUCUCAGGUUGUCUUCUGCUUCUGAAAAAAAGAGAAAGAAGUUGUCCUUCGUCUUCCUGCCAACGACAAAACGCACAACGGCGUCAAUAAUGGAACAAAAAAAGUUUGGAACUUGACCAAAGAGUCGUACAGCUAAAGCUUUAGGAAGAAAGGAGAGUGACUUCAAUUUGACACCUUCCUUUUAGGACAAGUCCUGAAGGUAAAUGUGGCCUAGAACAGGAAACUACAGAGCCGGCCGGCCGGCCGUCUCUGUCGUGUUACAGCCGACAGUAUUGAAAUAUCACCUAUCUUUGUGUUUUAUUAUACUUUGAAUAAUUUGACUCGUAAUUAAAAAAUGUUUCUAUUAUACAUUUAAAAUGUGGAUUUUCAUCACUUUUUACAAAAAUCAGUCCAGUCGGUCCACUAAACAGACUCGACUUGUGUAAUUUUGUACCACUGACUUGCUUUGUAAUCACAUUUGGCAGGAACGAUGUUGCCAAUCGGCUUUGUUCCGCAUCAAUUUAAUCAUUUUAAUGUCCGGGGCUUUAUGGCAACACACCUACGGUGGAACACAGUGUGCUAGUGUAUGUCUUUAUUGAAACACAGAGUGUCUAUGUAAAAAAAAUAUAUAUAUAUAUAACAUUACAGGGAAGAAAGGUCAGGCUAUGAUUUACAUAAUCAUCCCAAAUUUUUAAAUCUUCUCUUUUCUUUCUAAUAAAUAUAUUAUGCGGUAAUUUAUUUGAACAGAAAAAAAUGUUAUAUUUCAAGAAUAUUCUAUAUAUAUAUUUGCUAUAGAAUUGCUUGUGUGGUGGCAACGGUGUACGAGGCAGUUGAGUCGAGUCUCAACACUUUUCAUUUCCGCUGACACUUCCUGCUUCAACUUUGGUCUAGUGUUCUAGUACUUUUUGUUAAUAUACAAUACAUAUAAAUCAUCAGAUGAACAAAAUAACUGGUGUGUGACUCGACUGGCUUAUGAAUAUAUUUCUGAGAAGAGCACUUUACUCGAUUAGUAUUGGAAAUCUUGUUUUUGUUAAGUGUUUGACUUCAUGUUAAAAAAAAAAAAAAACUUUACAAUGGGACUUGUGUAGCUAAGCAGAUAUGCAGCUGAAAAUGCGCCAAAGUUGGCAAUGUUUUUUAUAUUGUGACUUCAAUCUGUGAAACUUCCUAUUCAUAAAAUUGUCUCCCCCACCAGAAGAUUAUGGUUUCAUUCUCGCAAGCAAGUAAUUUUAGGGAAUAAAGUAAAAACUGUCAAUUGUGUGCAAAAUUAAA